AGUGGACCCUUGAUUUUUGAUUUUUGAUUUAGAAUAUUUAGAGAUAAAUUUUUUCUAUCCUAGAAUUAAAUUUUAUAAUUCUCUAUUUAUUAGGAAGAAUUUGAGAUUGUUUAUCGAAUAAUGAUUUCGAUCUUAGAUUAUUAUACUCAAAUAUUUAUCUCCAGGGUAUAAUAAAAUUUGAAGUUUGGACUCUUUUGAUUAUUAUUAUUUCUCGGAUUAAAUAAAAA
rnacentral:lncRNA from 1 species